AUUGAACGCUGGCGGCAGGCCUAACACAUGCAAGUCGAGCGAGCGGCGGACGGGUGAGUAAUGUAUGGGGACUGCCCGAUAGAGGGGUAUAACUACGGGAAACGGUGGCUAAUACCGCAUACUAUCGGAUAACCCAUAUGGGAGUAGAUAGUAGGGGGGGUAAAGGCGCACCUAGGCGACGAGCGCUAGCUGGUCUGCGAGGAUGAUCAGCCACACUGGGACUGAGACACGGCCCAGACUCCUACGGAGGCAGCAGUGGGGAAUAGUGCACAAUGGGCGCAAGCCUGAUGCAGCCAUGCCGCGUGGAUGAAGAAGGCCUUCGGGUUGUAAAGUACUUUCAGUGAGGAGGCGUGACUCGAACAAGAAGCAACGGCUAACUCCGUGCCAGCAGCCGCGGUAAUAC
rnacentral:rRNA from 1 species